rnacentral:rRNA from 1 species
CACGUAGGGCGCGAGCGUUGUCCGGAAUUAUUGGGCGUAAAGAGCUCGUAGGCGGCCUGUUGCGUCCGCUGUGAAAGCCCGGGGCUUAACCCCGGGUCUGCAGUGGAUACGGGCAGGCUAGAGGUAGGUAGGGGAGAAUGGAAUUCCCGGUGUAGCGGUGAAAUGCGCAGAUAUCGGGAGGAACACCGGUGGCGAAGGCGGUUCUCUGGGCCGAAACUGACACUGAAGCGCGAAAGCUAGGGGAGCAAACGGG